AGUGAACGUUAGCGGCGGGCCUAACACAUGCAAGUCGAGCGAGAAAAGGGUUUCGGCCCUGAGUACAGCGGCGGACGGGUGAGUAACACGUAGGUAACCUGCCCUUUGGUGGAGGACAACGGUCCGAAAGGACCGCUAAUACUGCGUACGUUCCCCGGGUCCUUGGACCUGGGGAGGAAAGCCGGGCAACUGGCGCCAAAGGAGGGGCCUGCGUCGCAUCAGCUAGUUGGUGGGGUAACGGCCUACCAAGGCGAAGACGCGUAGCUGGUCUGAGGGAAUGAUCAGCCAGACUGGGACUGAGACACGGCCCAGACUCCUACGGGAGGCAGCAGUGGGGAAUAUUGGACAAUGGGCGCAAGCCUGAUCCAGCCACGCCGCGUGAGUGAUGAAGGCCUUCGGGUCGUAAAGCUCUGUGGGGAGGGACGAACGUCCGGGUGUAGAGCCCGGGGUGACGGUACCUCCUUAGCAAGCACCGGCUGACUUCGUGCCAGCCGCCGCGGUAA
rnacentral:rRNA from 1 species